rnacentral:lncRNA from 1 species
AGGCAUCUCAAUCUCUUCCCUUCUCAACUCCUCGGCAGCAGCUGGUAAUUCCUCUUUGUUGUUUGUUUUCCCCAAAUGAGCAUCGAUCCCAAAGGUCAGAGCUUUUAGUUCUGAAUCAACAGAGCAUCGGAAUCUUGGUCUCCUUCUCCUCUACGAUUUCCUCUUUCUCUUUAUGAAUUUCAUUGGAUUUGUGAUCUAUGUUCUGUCCUCUUACGGGGUUUGGAAGUAAGCUAUCAAAAUGUCAAAAUGCCCUGAGCAUGGAGUACAUUGUUGGAUGUCCUUGUUGCAUGGGCUGAGUAAUGCGAGGACUCUCAAGUUGUGUCACUCUACGAUUGAG